rnacentral:rRNA from 1 species
UACGAAGGGGGCUAGCGUUGCUCGGAAUCACUGGGCGUAAAGGGUGCGUAGGCGGGUCUUUAAGUCAGGGGUGAAAUCCUGAAGCUCAACUCCAGAACUGCCUUUGAUACUGAAGAUCUUGAGUCCGGGAGAGGUGAGUGGAACUGCGAGUGUAGAGGUGAAAUUCGUAGAUAUUCGCAAGAACACCAGUGGCGAAGGCGGCUCACUGGCCCGGUACUGACGCUGAGGCACGAAAGCGUGGGGAGCAAACAGG